CUGUAGUCUGCACGGUCGACAUGUCGGUCACUCUGGCUGUCUUUAUUAUUUUACAACUCAUUGUCAUUUCAUCUGAGAAAGAUUUACCUACCACAGACGUCGUGGAGGCGUUUUUAGCAAAGAAGUUCGGAUCCCUGAACGUAUACGAUUACAAAUUGAAUAUUCAAAAUGACAAACUCAACAAAAGGACUGCGGCCUUCGAUACUAAGAAUGUUAUACCUCUGGACCAACCUCGAGGAGUCCUGGAUAUUCUUCUACCACCAGAGAGAGUACAGUCCUUCAAAAGUACACUAGAUGGGUUAAAAAGACUACUCUCUUAUACCUUUCGACGGUAGUGUUGAAAACCCUCUUGUAUUUGAUGUUGAAGAUUUGCGCCGAAAACAGUGACGUAGAGAAAUCUUAAAAUAAACACUUCAGUUUUA